UACGGAGGGGCUAGCGUUGUUCGGAAUUACUGGGCGUAAAGCGCACGUAGGCGGCUUUGUAAGUUAGAGGUGAAAGCCCGGGGCUCAACUCCGGAAUUGCCUUUAAGACUGCAUCGCUAGAAUUGUGGAGAGGUAAGUGGAAUUCCGAGUGUAGAGGUGAAAUUCGUAGAUAUUCGGAAGAACACCAGUGGCGAAGGCGACUUACUGGACACAUAUUGACGCUGAGGUGCGAAAGCGUGGGAGCAACAGG
rnacentral:rRNA from 1 species